UACGUAGGUGGCAAGCGUUGUCCGGAUUUAUUGGGUUUAAAGGGUGCGUAGGCGGUCUAUUAAGUCAGUUGUGAAAUACGGCAGCGCAACUGUCGAGGUGCAAUUGAUACUGAUGGACUUGAGUACUGAUGAGGUAAGCGGAAUGGACGGUGUAGCGGUGAAAUGCUUAGAUAUCGUCCAGAACACCGAUAGCGAAGGCAGCUUACUAAGGAGUAACUGACGCUGAGGCACGAAAGUGUGGGGAUCAAACAGG
rnacentral:rRNA from 1 species